UGAAGUUAUCUUUCCUAAAAUCUCUCUUCCUUCUCUUCUUCUCUUCUUCUCUUCAUCUCUAUUUCUAUUUUCUUCUAUCCUUGUUCUUCUAUUCUCUUGGGUUCAUAACUGUAGACUGUGAAGUCUAAGGCAAAUCAAUCGAAAUCGAAUUCAUAACAGUAGGCUAUCAAAAAAUUGAAACUGAAAUUCAUUUUGAAUCUCCCCUGAAUUUCGGUCUUGGAGAAAUAGGGUUUAUUCUCAACAAAGGUACUUGAAAAGCGGAGUGAAUGACCGAGGAAGGGUUGCAAGUGAUGUUGAAACAGAGCAAAUUGUCCUUGAUGAAGAAGCUGGGUCUUGCAAGGGAAAGAUGAGUUCUGUUGUGCAGAUGCGUGGUUCAAUUUCCCUUUUCUGGUCCCAAGAAGCUUCAUGAUUUAGUCCUAAGCCUGAUAUAAUCAUACAGAGGUAUGAUCCUACAUACCAGGCAACCAAAUUGCAUUUUGAGGACUUGCCAAAUAGAUACGGAAAUCCAAUAAUUAUACUUCAUUUAAUCAAGACUGUUGAGAAAAGACCUAGAGAGAUGAUGUUGAUGCGUGAAUUUGCCCAUGCAGUUGGGUAUGUGAACGCAAUUCUACCAGAAGAGAAUCAACUGAAAUUUAUUCAUUGGGAUUUUCACAAGUUUGCGAAGAGGGAAGUUCUUACUUUUUCUCAUGAAACAGACAACCUUUGGCUUCCUCCCCUCACCUUCUCCAAUUGAGCUUAUAUGUGUAUGUUCUUGUGUGUUCUUUGCUGAUCUCAAGCAAGUCUGCCAAUGUUUUGGCUGUUUUGGGUGCUGCGGCUAGUGAAGCUCUUGAUUUGACUGGUUUUUACAAUAGUGGUAAACCCAGGACUGUUAAGAGGAGAGCCAACCAACUUAAUAGAACAAGCACUGGGAGAUUUUUGGGCUACUACCAAUCAAAGGAAGGAAAUCCUGCUCUUUGGAAGUUGGAUUCAGAUUAUUAUCUUCAUGUUUCCGGGACAGGAGAUGACCUAUUCCCUGAUAAGUGUGUGGAGGGUAGUGUUAAGCCUUUAGUACUGGGAAAGAUCCUUGCUCCCAUUCCUGCUUGUAGAGAAGACUUUUCACGGAUGAAGUUGACGUCAUUUGAUAAAUUGAUAGAACGGACAUGGAGUUUAAUAAUGUGAGACUGUAUAGCGAACCAGAUCAAAGACCUGGUGGUUCUACAGCAAAUUCUGGCGUGGCACCUGAUGCAGCGUAAAUAUCAUUUUGUCUCUGCUAUCAAUAUAUUUUGAUAUUCUGUUUGUAGCUUCUUUGAGCUUGUCUGUUUCUCUUAUCUUUUGUUGAAUAGAGACACUCUUCCCCUUCCAGGUAAUA